UACGUGGGGACCGAGCGUUGUCCGGAAUCAUUGGGCGUAAAGAGCGUGUAGGCGGCUCGCUAAGUCUUGCGUGAAAUCUCGGGGCUCAACCCCGAGCGGUCGUGAGAAACUGGCGGGCUAGAGUGCGGGAGAGGAGAGUGGAAUUCCUGGUGUAGCGGUGAAAUGCGCAGAUAUCAGGAAGAACACCCGUGGCGAAGGCGGCUCUCUGGAACGCAACUGACGCUGAGACGCGAAAGCGUGGGGAGCAAACAGG
rnacentral:rRNA from 1 species